UACGGGGGGAGCAAGCGUUGUUCGGAUUUACUGGGCGUAAAGGGCGCGUAGGCGGUCAGCACAAGUCAGUUGUGAAAUCUCCGGGCUUAACUCGGAAAGGUCAACUGAUACUGUGCGACUAGAGUGCAGAAGGGGGCAACUGGAAUUCUCGGUGUAGCGGUGAAAUGCGUAGAUAUCGAGAGGAACACCUGCGGCGAAGGCGGGUUGCUGGGCUGACACUGACGCUGAUGCGCGGAAAGCCAGGGGAGCGAACGGG
rnacentral:rRNA from 1 species